AAUGGCACAACGAGGGCUUAGCUGUCUCCUCUUUCAAGUCAAUGAAAUUGAUCUUCCCGUGCAGAAGCGGAAAUAUAAACAUAAGACGAGAAGACCCUAUGGAGCUUUAGACACUAAAACAGCUUACGUUAAAUACCCCCCACAAAGGAAAAAACUAAAUAAUCCUGCUCUAAUGUCUUUGGUUGGGGCGACCGCGGGGAACUAAAUAACCCCCACGUGGAACGAGAGUACUUCUCUUACAACUAAGAGCUACCCCUCUAAUAAACAGAAAUUCUGACCAACAAGAUCCGGCAACGCCGAUCAACGGACCGAGUUACCCUAGGGAUAACAGCGCAAUCCUCUUUUAGAGCCCAUAUCGACAAGAGGGUUUACGACCUCGAUGUUGGAUCAGGACAUCCUAAUGGUGCAGCCGCUAUUAAGG
rnacentral:rRNA from 1 species